AUGUGGCGGGCCUGGGGCGAUCCUCUGCGCCCAGCUCACAGCGCCAAGCCGCCGAAGACCAGAGCCAAGGGUCCCCAGAGGCAAUCCGCCAGGUGGCGCCAACUCUCAACCCCUGCUAGAGCUGAAGCAUUUCCAGGCUUGCUCAGAGUGGAGCGAAGAGACGGUUGGAAGAGCACAGCUCGGAUUGGCGCUUUCUCUCUGCGCCCUCCGCCGCGUGGAAGCCUUUUCUUCUGCACCCCUCUCAGGAUGACUGCAACCCUAAAGGAAAGCGGAGUGUCCUGUGUGCCACAUGGAGCUUGGGGAAAGGAAAUGAUUAAAGCCGUGAGGUUUCCUGGCUCUUCGCGGUGUUUACGAUUAUUUCAAAAUGUUCUCCACUGCAUCCCCAAGCUGGCUAUCUUGCACGACUUAAUGUGAUUCAACAGAAUUGAAACAUCAGAGCACAUGUAGCUUUCAAAAUUCAGACUGACCAUUUCAGCCAUAAACGUUCUCCAAACCAGAGGGAAGUGGGCUUGGAUCUAUGCUACUGCCAAGUCUCCUCUAUUGCUGGUAAUUUUCCUCUCUGUGGAAAAGAAGGCUUGAAGAAAAAGAAAAUGACGCUCCUUUCGCACCUAGGAGGACAGACAUUUGCCCAUGCAUCAAAAGGUAAGAGCAGGACUCUACGUGCUCACACACGCAUAUACACACAUAUAUGUACUUGUACACAUGCACACACAAGUUGUGGUGUAUCAUGUAUCUAUUCUAUCUAAUAUAUAUGUAACUUUUGCAUUUUCACCUUUUUUUGUUUGUUUUUUUCCGGUACCAGAAAUCGAACUCGCGACCUUGCCCUUGCCAGGAAAGCGCUGAGCUAAAUCCCCAGCCCUAUUUUCAUCAUUUCUGACUGUGCAGUUUAGAGGCGUUAAAUGCUUUCACAUCAUUAUAUGAACUUCGUAAUUAUCUAUUUCCAGAACUUUUUUUUAGCAAAUUGAAACUAUAUACCCAUUAAACAAUAUCCUUCCCUGCUCAUACAAUUUUCCGUCCUUAGGAAUUUGACUGUUCUAGGUCUUCAUAUAAAUUAUACACUAUUUCUCCUUUUUUUUAGUUUAGAAGUAAAAGAACAAAAACAUUAACAAACAGACAACCAUUUACAAAGUAGCACAAGAACAGCACAAGCAAUACUGAAUUACAGACAAGUUGACAGGGAAUUAACAAUGGUUGCUGUAUUACAUACUAACUUCAAAGCAGUUACUCUGGAAAACAAAUAUAGACAUGCAAGCUUGAUCAAAAUAAUUAAUCAUUAACUGCUCCUUUCAAUAAUGUGAUAGAAGUCAAUAGUACAACUAUGUUAGCUAUCCUGUAUAUACAUAUAUACAUAAUUUUCCCCUUCUUUCUUUUCUUUUUUCCCUCAUCCCAGUUGCUUUUUACUUUUGAGCGGUUUGCUUUCAUUUCACAAAGUCUAUCAUACCUCCUAAUUUUUAUUCACUCUUUCAGGUUCUUACACUAGUGAGAAAAUACAUUGCUUAUACAUGCAGGUCUGAUUUAUUUCACUUAUGAGUACGGCCUCUAGUUGUGACCAUUUACCUAUAAAAGCCUCGAGUUUAUCUUUCUUUAUAGCUGAGUAAUAUUCCAUUAUAGAAAAAUGCCAAAAAAAAAAUGCCACAAUUUUUUUAUCCAAUCCUCAGUGAAUGGACAUUUAGGUUGCUUCCACAAUUUAGCAAUUACAAGCUGUGCUGCUAUGAAUAUGGGUGCACAUAUAUCGCUGUGAUAUGAUGUUUUCAGCUCUUCUGGGAAAAUACCCAGAAGGGGAAUAGCUGGGUCGAAUGGGACCUCUAGACCUAGUUUUCUGAGGAAUCUCCACACUGAUUUCCACAGUGGUUUCACCAAUCUGCAUUCCCUCCAGCAGUGGACAAAAGUUCCUAUUUCUCCACAGCCUCACCAGCAUUUGUUAUUGGUUGAUUUCUUAAUGAUAGCCAUUCUUACUGGGGUAAGACAGAAUCUCAAUGUUGUUUUAAUUUGCAUUCUUGAAUGACUAAUGAUGUUGAACAUUUUCUCAUGUAUUUAUUUUCCAUUUGUAUUUCUUUAUCUGAGAAGUGUGUGUUCAUGUCAGAUGCCCAUUUUAGGAUUGGGUCUUUGAAUUUGGGGAUGUUGAUUAUUUGUCCUUUUGUUAAGGCUUAUUUAACUUACUGUAACAGCUUCAAGACUUGCUCAUGUUGAAGCAUUGUCAUAGUUUCCUUUUUGUACAAAGCUAAAUAUUUCAUUUUAUGUACAAGUUAUGUAGCAUGUUUUGUUUUUACCCAUUCACCUGUCCAUGGACAUUUGGAUGGUUUCUCUUCUGGCUAUUGUGAAUCAGUAUAAAAACAUCUCUUUCAGACCCUGCUUUCAGUUCUUUUGUUCACCUAAGAAAAGAAUUGCUAGUUGAUAUAGUGAGUCUAUGUUUAAGUUUUGAAACUCUGGCAAAAUGUUUUCCACAGCUGCUGUAUCAUUUUACAUUCCUACCAGCAAUUCAUUACAUUUCUAAUUCUACACAUCCUCACCAACACUUAUUUUUUAAAAAAUAAAAGAUCAUCCACAAGACAAAAAUAUUAAGUGAAAUCAGAUACAACAACUUAAAUAUCACAUAACUUCUCUUAUAUGGGAAGCCCAAAGUAUAAAUAAUUUUUAAAAACAUAAAAGAUAAUGGGAAACAGCUAGAUAGAUCUUUUGCAAAUGUGAAGAGGAUCUGGAGAUAGACAGAAGGGAGCAGGAGGAGAGGAAAGGUGUAUAAAAAGAAUUAAGAUAAUCUGCUCAAAAGGAAAGAACAACUGGGAUGGGGAAAGGAGAAAAGAAAGAAAGAAGAAAAGAGUAAAAUAUUUAUACACAAGAUAGCUAAGAUAAUUGUACCACUAAUUUCUUUCUUUUUUUUGUUUUUUGUUUUUUUUUUCCAGUACCGGGAAUCGAACUCACAAUCUCGCGCUUGCCUGGCAGGCGCUCUGCCACUGAGCUAAAUCCCCAGCCCCUGUACUACUAAUUUCUAUUAGUUUACUGAGAGGAAUAGUGAAUGCUUAAUUGUUUGAUCAAUUUUGCUUGCCUAUAUCUGGUGAUCUGAACAACUAUUUGAAGAUAACAAUAUGCAAUAUAACAACCAAUGAUAAUUGCCUAUCAUCCUGUUUUGAAAUUCUGUAUCAUUUGUAUUUUUUAAUUUUUAUUUUCUUUAAAAUAAAAAAAAAUUAAAAAGAAUUAAGGUAAGGUACGUACAUGUACCUGCUCCUUAAGAUGAAAGUCAAGAAUAUGUACCACAAGCAUGUAAUGGGAGAAAAAAGAACACCCUGUGUUGCAUGCUUACCUGUAUAUUUUUACCAUUUUUUGAAAACAAUACUUUGGAGGAAGAAAGAUAGGGCUCUGUUUGUGUUUUCUUAUGACCACAAGUUUUGGUUAAUCUGGUGGUUAUUUUGUUCACUGAGAAGGUAUAACAAAUAGUGCUUCCAACUUAAUCCAUCAACAAAUCUUCCAGAAACCCCCACCUUCUCGUCCUAUUUGAUCCAUAGCCACAAUCUAUGACUCUGUUCAUUAAAACUCAUUUUACUUCUUGCGAUGAGCAAGUGAUGGGAAAAAGUGAACUGGACAUCUUCAGAUGUUGUUGAUAAAAUACGUACAGUGUUGAAAUCAAAGUGAUUUUCAUUUCACUGUACAUGUAAAUUCAAUAUGCCCAUUUUCUUCUUUACUCUGUGUUUAGAUGGUCUGAUUUUCUAACAAAUCACUUGAAAGCCCCAAUUCUUUUUUUUUUUUAUGAUCAAUCUCCUGUUCUUUGAUGCUUUUAUUUAUUUUAUUUUUUUUUUUUUUUCUUCAGGUACCGGGAAUCGAACUUAGGGCCUUGCACUUGCCAGGCAAGUGCUGUGCCGCUAAGCUAAAUCCCCAGCCCUUGAAAGCCCCAAUUCUUAACACUCCCACUCCUACUCUGAAAAACAUUCCAAAAAGGGUCAGUCCACACGACCGCAGACUAUUUGUUGUCUGACUUUCUUCCUUUUAUUUUUUUUUCAGUAUGGGAGGUUGAACCCAGAGCCUUUGAACUGAACUACAUCCCCAGAUCUUUUGACUGUUUCUUUUUUAUUUUUUGUGGGUUUUUUUUUUUUUUUUUUUGAGACGGGGUCCUCCUGAGUUACCCAAGCUGGUCUUGAACUUGCAAUACUCCUGCCUCAGUCUUCCAGAGGCCAGGAAAGGCCCUCAACCCCAUCCUAUACUCCAAGAUCAAUGCAUAUGCUUCUUCAGGGCAGAGUGUACCACCUGUCAAGACAAAGGGAAAACUCAGCUUUGCUGAGAAGUCAGACAGUCUAACAACAAGUGUUUAUUCUGUAUCCCCUUUUAUUUUUUUAUAUCACUUCUUACUGGUAACAAUUAUUAUAUUUUCUCAGCUAUUUAUUAAUGUAUUGCCUAUGGCAGACACUAGAGCAUAAACUCCUGAAGAGUGGACACACUGUGUGUGAAGAGCAUAGCUGCUGUAUCCCAGUAACUGAAACAGUGUAAGGCGAAUGAAAGAUCAUGAAUAGAAUACGUACAGACUCCAGGAAAGCAUGUUAAUAAAUCAAUAGCAGUACCUUCAAUGAGGAGAUAACAUGCCACAGAAAUGGACCGGGUCUUUGGCUAAAGCAUCACUGUCUGAUACAGUAGCCACCAGCCUUGGAUGGUUAUCAAGUACUGGAACUGUGGCUCAUUUGAGUGCACAUACUAUAUGUGUAAAAUAUACCCCAGGUUGUGAAGACCUCAUAUAAGUGGGCAAUCCUUCAGGCUCUUGUGAAGCACUCUAAUGAUUGGUCCAAGUGAGACGAUCUAAUGAUUGCUCCUUCACUAAGUAUGGUGGCUCUCAACCCGUGGCCCACACACCCUACGUGACCAGUGGUCAAGGGACUCCCACUUAAAAGAAAUUACCAACUCUGGCUUCUUUUCAUGCUGGAACCUUUGUGUGUAUGUCAAAUAUGCAAAACAUCAACCAUCUCAUUAGGUAGGUAUUAUUUAUUCAUCUCUGGAAGGCUUGCUACAAGUAUAUGUUCUGUGACAAGUGUAACAUGUUUAUGAGCAUGUGCAUAAUAAAUUAUUGGAAAUAAUUGUGUUUUCAAUACUCCAUAUAUAUAUGUGUGUGUGUAUAUAUCUAUAUAUGUGUGUAUAUAUAUAUGUGUGUAUAUAUAUAUAUAUAUAUAAUUUGACUCCUGUCA
ensembl:lincRNA